UCAAACCUCAAGUUAAACCCACCACUCUUUCCCGAAUUUCUGCAGAUGGAGCUGAUUUCAUAGUCUCUCUGGUUUUCAGUUUGGCAAUCAGGAAAAAAAACUGAAAAAAAAUACCAUAGCCGAUUCCUGUCUGCGGACUGAGGAAAGAUGAAGAAAGGAAUCCACCCUCAGAUGCAAUGGAUAUCCUAUGUUACCCAGAGUGGUCGAUUAAUUCCCGUUAUGAUGACUAAAAUACACCAAGUCGGUAAAGUCUAUCAUUUCAGGGCAAAGCGCCAGAUGGCUCAAAGUAUUGGACAAAUUGCAAAGUUUAAGCGUCGUUAUGGACAACAGCAGGAAGAGGAAAUCCAGGACCAGGAAAAAUAAAUUCUACAUUGCUCUAUUAUUAUGUAUUAGGAUUUGCCCACCAAGUAAAAGAAUGGUGUUUCAUUGAGUUAAUACCAUUGCUGAAUUGCUCCUUGAAGUACAUUUGUUUUUCUAUUUUAUUUCCCUUUUACUCUAAUUGCCUUAUAUUUCUUUAAAAUAUGGGGUAUUACUGGUAUAUCUUUGUGGCGUCAAGUUGGAUGUUGGCUGAAUGGAAUUCCAUGAUGUGCACUAUCUGAUAUGUACCUUGAAUGUUGCAUGCUAAUAUUUAUAAUUUCUGUGUAAGAAAUAUAUAUCAGCUUUGAAUGGUGUUUC